rnacentral:lncRNA from 1 species
GUUUUUUUUUCUGCUUCUGGUGUUUUGUUAGCUUUGAUUAAUUGUCAUGAAAAUAUUAGUGCUACAAAAUAAAUUCAAAUAAGGAACAAUUGAUUUCAUAUCGACAAUAUUAAAAACAAGAAACAGACCUAACUCAAAGUGCUGAUUGAAGGUAUAUAUAAUUCUGGCCUUUUACAGCGUGCAGAUUUACCUGCAUGUACUUGUACAAGAAAAUAUAUAAAAUAAGGAAAACCUAAAUGAUUUAAAUUUGUAUUGUAUUAUUAAUGUAUACCUAAACAGAUAUAAAGACUUUACUAAUAGGGUCUUUGCAUCGGAAACAAACACAUUUAUUUAACAAAAAAAACAGUUGUUGGCAUGACACGGAUUAUGUUCUUUUCAUAUAUUUUAUGAAAGUAUGAUACUAAACCCCUAACGGGAGGGAUUGUGCCUGCUGACAUAAUCUAUCAAUCAGUUUAAUUGAGCUGGCAUGUCAGUUAACUGCUAGUAGUCUGUUGUUAAUGUAUUAUUGUCAUUUUAUUUAUUUUCUUUUGUUACAUCUUCUGACAUCGGACUCGGACUUCUCUUGAACUGAAUUGACGUACGUAUUGUUAUGCGUUUACAUUUCUACAUUAGCUAGAGGUAUAGGGGGAGAGUGGAGAUCGCAUAAACAUGUUAAACCCCACCGCAAUUUUGCGCCUGUCCCAAGGCAAGAGCCUAUGGCCUUUGGUCUGUAUGAUUUUCAAUUUAGUUUCUUGGGUAUAUUUCGGGAGUUAGUAUGACGAC